AUUGAACGCUGGCGGCAGGCCUAACACAUGCAAGUCGAGCGAGCGGCGGACGGGUGAGUAAUGUCUGGGAAACUGCCUGAUGGAGGGGGAUAACUACUGGAAACGGUAGCUAAUACCGCAUACCAUCAGAUGUGCCCAGAGGGGUUUAGCUAGUAGGUGGGGUAACGGCUCACCUAGGCGAAGAUCCCUAGCUGGUCUGAGAGGAUGACCAGCCACCCUGGAACUGGGACACGGGCCAGAAUCCUACGGGAGGCAGCAGUGGGGAAUAUUGCACAAUGGGCGCAAGCCUGAUUCAGCCAUGCCGCGUGGAUGAAGAAGGCCGUCGGGUUGUAAAGUACUUUCAGCGGGGAGGCGUUACCCGCAGAAGAAGCACCGGCUAACUCCGUGCCAGCAGCCGCGGUAAUUC
rnacentral:rRNA from 1 species